rnacentral:rRNA from 1 species
UACGUAGGUGGCAAGCGUUGUCCGGAUUUACUGGGCGUAAAGAGCGCGCAGGCGGUCGUGCAAGUCGCGUGUGAAAGCCCCCGGCUCAACUGGGGAGGGUCACGCGAUACUGCUCGACUCGAAGGCAGGAGAGGGGAAGUGGAAUUCCCGGUGUAGUGGUGAAAUGCGUAGAUAUCGGGAGGAACACCAGUGGCGAAGGCGACUUCCUGGUCCAGCACCGACGUCAGGCACGAAAAGCGUGGGGGAGCAAACAGG